AGAGUUUGAUCCUGGCUCAGGACGAACGCUGGCGGCGUGCCUAACACAUGCAAGUCGAACGGAGAGUUUCGAAGAGUUUACUUGGAGAAAUUUUUAGUGGCGGACGGGUGAGUAACGCGUGGGUAACCUACCCAUAAACCCGGGACAACCCUUGGAAACGAGGGCUAAUACCGGAUAAUCUUUGAGAGUGGCAUCACUCUUUAAGAAAAGGUGGCCUCUGUAUAUGCUACCGAUUAUGGAUGGACCCGCGUCUGAUUAGCUAGUUGGUGGGGUAAAGGCCUACCAAGGCGACGAUCAGUAGCCGGCCUGAGAGGGUGAACGGCCACACUGGGACUGAGACACGGUCCAGACUCCUACGGGAGGCAGCAGUGGGGAAUAUUGCACAAUGGGCGCAAGCCUGAUGCAGCAACGCCGCGUGAGUGAUGAAGGCCUUCGGGUCGUAAAACUCUGUCCUAUGGGAAGAAAAAAAUGACGGUACCAUAGGAGGAAGCCCCGGCUAACUAUGUGCCAGCAGCCGCGGUAAUACGUAGGGGGCAAGCGUUAUCCGGAAUCACUGGGCGUAAAGGGUGCGUAGGUGGCUCAUCAAGCCAGAGGUGAAAGGCAUUGGCUCAACCAAUGUAAGCCUUUGGAACUGACGAGCUUGAGUGCAGGAGAGGUAAGUGGAAUUCCUAGUGUAGAGGUGAAAUUCGUAGAUAUUAGGAGGAACACCAGUGGCGAAGGCGACUUACUGGACUGUAACUGACACUGAGGCACGAAAGCGUGGGGAGCGAACAGGAUUAGAUACCCUGGUAGUCC
rnacentral:rRNA from 1 species